rnacentral:rRNA from 1 species
GACGAACGCUGGCGGCGUGCUUAACACAUGCAAGUCGAACGGAAAGGCCCUGCUUUUGUGGGGUGCUCGAGUGGCGAACGGGUGAGUAACACGUGAGUAACCUGCUCUUGACUUUGGGAUAACUUCAGGAAACUGGGGCUAAUACCGGAUAGGAGCUCCUGCUGCAUGGUGGGGGUUGGAAAGUUUCGGCGGGUGGGGAUGGACUCGCGGCUUAUCAGCUUGUUGGUGGGGUAGUGGCUUACCAAGGCUUUGACGGGUAGCCGGCCUGAGAGGGUGACCGGCCACAAUGGGACUGAGAUACGGCCCAGACGCCUACGGGAGGCAGCGGUGGGGAAUAUUGCACAAUGGGCGGAAGCCUGAUGCGGCAACGCCGCGUGCGGGAUGACGGCCUGCGGGUUGUAAACCGCUUUCGCCUGUUACGAAGCGUGAGUGACGGUAAUGGGUAAAGAAGCACCGGCUAACUACGUG